GGGCUACCCCUAGUGGCUUCGGCACAAAUCGGCAGGCGGGCGGGCGCAACCCAGCUGCUAAUUUCCUGGAAUUUUGGAGCAGACUUUCCCAGCCCGGAGGGAGAGUAGGACAAGUUCAACGAUCUCCUCUCCCUCGCACUGAUCCUUUACACAACUGAUGUCCCUCAAAUCGAGUUUAAACAGCCAAGUUUUCAGCCUACCCCUCUCCGACAGCUUUCUUCGAGGAAUAAAGCAAAAGAAAAGGCAGCGAGGCCGCCACAAACCCGUCCCCAAAAGGAAGAAGUGCAACAGGGGGGAAAAGCAGCUGUUUCUAAACUCUCGCCUCUGCCCUAGAGGAAGAUCGACUAUGGGCUUUUUAAAAAAAGAAAAUCGGUUCUUUGUGCCGAACGAGCCGUUGUUUAUAAACUUAUUUCGGGAUGGGAUGGAGAGCGAAGGAACUCCAGAAAAAUCUGGGAAUCGGAGGGCGCUUUAGCCAGUUCAAGGUCACUGCCUAGGUUAUGAAAUGGCUUCUUCAUCUUAUGCAAAUGAGGGUCUUAAAAGACACCCCAGCUCUUCCGAGAGAGAGAAAGAGAGAGAGGGGGGGGGAGCGCUCCCCCCCCCAACUUGGGUGCUUUCUGAAGCUUUGUUCGUGAUCUUUUUCAGCGGUCCUAAAUAGGCAUUCUAGUUUUUGGCUGGCAGAUCGCUCUACCCUCCGCAUUGAUCUUAGCGAAGUUCUCGCAUCCCCUGGUGCUUCGCUGUCUCCUAAACUAGCUUUUGGGGAAAGAGCGGGAGGAGAAGGGCUGGAACUCAAUAAUGGUGCUUUCUUGAUUACUCUCCAUCAAGCAAUUAAAAUAUCAACUUUUUAGAAGUA